rnacentral:rRNA from 1 species
GGUUAAGCGACUAAGCGUACACGGUGGAUGCCCUGGCAGUCAGAGGCGAUGAAGGACGUGCUAAUCUGCGAUAAGCGUCGGUAAGGUGAUAUGAACCGUUAUAACCGGCGAUUUCCGAAUGGGGAAACCCAGUGUGAUUCGUCACACUAUCAUUAACUGAAUCCAUAGGUUAAUGAGGCGAACCGGGGGAACUGAAACAUCUAAGUACCCCGAGGAAAAGAAAUCAACCGAGAUUCCCCCAGUAGCGGCGAGCGAACGGGGAGCAGCCCAGAGCCUGAAUCAGUGUGUGUGUUAGUGGAAGCGUCUGGAAAGGCGCGCGAUACAGGGUGACAGCCCCGUACACAAAAAUGCACAUACUGUGAGCUCGAUGAGUAGGGCGGGACACGUGGUAUCCUGUCUGAAUAUGGGGGGACCAUCCUCCAAGGCUAAAUACUCCUGACUGACCGAUAGUGAACCAGUACCGUGAGGGAAAGGCGAAAAGAACCCCGGCGAGGGGAGUGAAAAAGAACCUGAAACCGUGUACGUACAAGCAGUGGGAGCACAGAGCAAUCUGUGUGACUGCGUACCUUUUGUAUAAUGGGUCAGCGACUUAUAUUCUGUAGCAAGGUUAACCGAAUAGGGGAGCCGAAGGGAAACCGAGUCUUAACUGGGCGUUAAGUUGCAGGGUAUAGACCCGAAACCCGGUGAUCUAGCCAUGGGCAGGUUGAAGGUUGGGUAACACUAACUGGAGGACCGAACCGACUAAUGUUGAAAAAUUAGCGGAUGACUUGUGGCUGGGGGUGAAAGGCCAAUCAAACCGGGAGAUAGCUGGUUCUCCCCGAAAGCUAUUUAGGUAGCGCCUCGUGAAUUCAUCUCCGGGGGUAGAGCACUGUUUCGGCAAGGGGGUCAUCCCGACUUACCAACCCGAUGCAAACUGCGAAUACCGGAGAAUGUUAUCACGGGAGACACACGGCGGGUGCUAACGUCCGUCGUGAAGAGGGAAACAACCCAGACCGCCAGCUAAGGUCCCAAAGUCAUGGUUAAGUGGGAAACGAUGUGGGAAGGCCCAGACAGCCAGGAUGUUGGCUUAGAAGCAGCCAUCAUUUAAAGAAAGCGUAAUAGCUCACUGGUCGAGUCGGCCUGCGCGGAAGAUGUAACGGGGCUAAACCAUGCACCGAAGCUGCGGCAGCGACGCUUAUGCGUUGUUGGGUAGGGGAGCGUUCUGUAAGCCUGUGAAGGUGUACUGUGAGGUAUGCUGGAGGUAUCAGAAGUGCGAAUGCUGACAUAAGUAACGAUAAAGCGGGUGAAAAGCCCGCUCGCCGGAAGACCAAGGGUUCCUGUCCAACGUUAAUCGGGGCAGGGUGAGUCGACCCCUAAGGCGAGGCCGAAAGGCGUAGUCGAUGGGAAACAGGUUAAUAUUCCUGUACUUGGUGUUACUGCGAAGGGGGGACGGAGAAGGCUAUGUUGGCCGGGCGACGGUUGUCCCGGUUUAAGCGUGUAGGCUGGUUUUCCAGGCAAAUCCGGAAAAUCAAGGCUGAGGCGUGAUGACGAGGCACUACGGUGCUGAAGCAACAAAUGCCCUGCUUCCAGGAAAAGCCUCUAAGCAUCAGGUAACAUCAAAUCGUACCCCAAACCGACACAGGUGGUCAGGUAGAGAAUACCAAGGCGCUUGAGAGAACUCGGGUGAAGGAACUAGGCAAAAUGGUGCCGUAACUUCGGGAGAAGGCACGCUGAUAUGUAGGUGAAGUCCCUCGCGGAUGGAGCUGAAAUCAGUCGAAGAUACCAGCUGGCUGCAACUGUUUAUUAAAAACACAGCACUGUGCAAACACGAAAGUGGACGUAUACGGUGUGACGCCUGCCCGGUGCCGGAAGGUUAAUUGAUGGGGUCAGCGCAAGCGAAGCUCUUGAUCGAAGCCCCGGUAAACGGCGGCCGUAACUAUAACGGUCCUAAGGUAGCGAAAUUCCUUGUCGGGUAAGUUCCGACCUGCACGAAUGGCGUAAUGAUGGCCAGGCUGUCUCCACCCGAGACUCAGUGAAAUUGAACUCGCUGUGAAGAUGCAGUGUACCCGCGGCAAGACGGAAAGACCCCGUGAACCUUUACUAUAGCUUGACACUGAACAUUGAGCCUUGAUGUGUAGGAUAGGUGGGAGGCUUUGAAGUGUGGACGCCAGUCUGCAUGGAGCCGACCUUGAAAUACCACCCUUUAAUGUUUGAUGUUCUAACGUGGACCCGUAAUCCGGGUUGCGGACAGUGUCUGGUGGGUAGUUUGACUGGGGCGGUCUCCUCCUAAAGAGUAACGGAGGAGCACGAAGGUUGGCUAAUCCUGGUCGGACAUCAGGAGGUUAGUGCAAUGGCAUAAGCCAGCUUGACUGCGAGCGUGACGGCGCGAGCAGGUGCGAAAGCAGGUCAUAGUGAUCCGGUGGUUCUGAAUGGAAGGGCCAUCGCUCAACGGAUAAAAGGUACUCCGGGGAUAACAGGCUGAUACCGCCCAAGAGUUCAUAUCGACGGCGGUGUUUGGCACCUCGAUGUCGGCUCAUCACAUCCUGGGGCUGAAGUAGGUCCCAAGGGUAUGGCUGUUCGCCAUUUAAAGUGGUACGCGAGCUGGGUUUAGAACGUCGUGAGACAGUUCGGUCCCUAUCUGCCGUGGGCGCUGGAGAACUGAGGGGGGCUGCUCCUAGUACGAGAGGACCGGAGUGGACGCAUCACUGGUGUUCGGGUUGUCAUGCCAAUGGCACUGCCCGGUAGCUAAAUGCGGAAGAGAUAAGUGCUGAAAGCAUCUAAGCACGAAACUUGCCCCGAGAUGAGUUCUCCCUGACUCCUUGAGAGUCCUGAAGGAACGUUGAAGACGACGACGUUGAUAGGCCGGGUGUGUAAGCGCAGCGAUGCGUUGAGCUAACCGGUACUAAUGAACCGUGAGGCUUAACCUU